GUGCACACUUCAGCAGAACAUAUACUAAAAUUGGAACAGUUACAGAGAAGUUUGGUAUGGCCUCUAUGCAGAAAUGACACGAAAAUUCAUAUUUCAUAUUUUAUAUUUUU